AGUGAACGCUGGCGGUAGGCCUAACACAUGCAAGUCGAACGGCAGCACAGUAAGAGCUUGCUCUUACGGGUGGCGAGUGGCGGACGGGUGAGGAAUACAUCGGAAUCUACUUUUUCGUGGGGGAUAACGUAGGGAAACUUACGCUAAUACCGCAUACGACCUACGGGUGAAAGCAGGGGAUCUUCGGACCUUGCGCGAUUGAAUGAGCCGAUGUCGGAUUAGCUAGUUGGCGGGGUAAAGGCCCACCAAGGCGACGAUCCGUAGCUGGUCUGAGAGGAUGAUCAGCCACACUGGAACUGAGACACGGACCAGACUCCUACGGGAGGCAGCAGUGGGGAAUAUUGGACAAUGGGCGCAAGCCUGAUCCAGCCAUACCGCGUGGGUGAAGAAGGCCUUCGGGUUGUAAAGCCCUUUUGUUGGGAAAGAAAAGCAGCAGGUUAAUACCCCGCUGUUCUGACGGUACCCAAAGAAUAAGCACCGGCUAGCUUCGUG
rnacentral:rRNA from 1 species